rnacentral:rRNA from 1 species
CCUACGGGAGGCAGCAGUGGGGAAUAUUGGGCAAUGGGCGCAAGCCUGACCCAGCAACGCCGCGUGAAGGAAGAAGGCUUUCGGGUUGUAAACUUCUUUUCUCAGGGACGAAGAAAGUGACGGUACCUGAGGAAUAAGCCAUGGCUAACUACGUGCCAGCAGCCGCGGUAAUACGUAGGUGGCAAGCGUUAUCCGGAUUUAUUGGGUGUAAAGGGCGUGUAGGCGGGAGCGCAAGUCAGAUGUGAAAACUCAGGGCUCAACCCUGAGCCUGCAUUUGAAACUGUGUUUCUUGAGUGCUGGGGAGGCAAUCGGAAUUCCGUGUGUAGCGGUGAAAUGCGUAGAUAUACGGAGGAACACCAGUGGCGAAGGCGGAUUGCUGGACAGUAACUGACGCUGAGGCGCGAAAGCGUGGGGAGCAAACAGGAUUAGAUACCCCUGUAGUC